ensembl:lncRNA
AAUCAGAGCGAUCAGGAGACCCAACAUUUCACUCCAGAAAUUCUAAAGCUGAUGAGAAGCAGUUUUCGUUGAGUCAGCUGUCUGCAGAAGCUGUGUCUGUAUAGAGGUCCAAGUUUCCUGAAAUUGAGUUGCUGUCUUUGGAAUUCCAGAGGGAGAAUAGAGACAGUUUUGCUUCCUCUGCAUGAUGGACACAAAUGUCAUCAGAUCUGCUUAUUUGGUAGAAUUGAACUUGGAUCAUCCAGGACCAUGUUAUUGGGGCUCCAUCUUACGGUAGAUGAGAGCAGAAUGGCAGUGGUAUUAUAACUUGUCCAGGUUAGAAGCUAGGGAGAAGAAAUUUUAUAAGAUAUGAUAUUUUGCUUUGGGCCAAAAACACAAUGCAUUCUCCAAAGAGAGAAUGCGUUUUUUCAUGCUGCCUCAAGAUCCAUGCAAAAUAGGAGUAUUUCUAGUAGUUCUAUCUUUACAGUCUUACAUAAUAAUGAUUUAUUUGGCAUAAACAUCACUGUGCAGACAAUUAACAAAAAAAAAAUCUCUUUUUCAAGUAAUUUGUAAUCUCUGGAGGAUAGGAACGAGGUCUUGAUUAUCACAUUAGAUAUUUUGAUGAAGAAUAACGAACAAAGAAGAUUUCAAAACAUAAUAAUCAUGGUAGUUUGAUAUUUUUUGCAUCAUUACUUCCAUGCUGGAUUCUUACAGAAACUAAACCUCAGACCUUUCUGAGAUUUCUUUUUUUUUUUUCAAGUAAUUACCACUAUUUUUAGUUUCUGUAUCUUUAUAUGGCCUCAAAAGUUACAUACCUCCAUUCAUCUAUGUCACCUCUGGCAGACAUAUAGAAACCAAAACCAUAAUGCAAGAAACAUAGGUUUGCAAGGAGCUAUGUGGUCUUCAUGAAAGCCAUGCUGCAAAUACAUAUCUAAGAAUAAAGCCAUCAAACAAAUGGAUAGUGGCAGAGAAAACCAUAAUUUCUCAUUGAAAAAUCAAAGAUUUCUGAUUUUCUUGCAUUUCAUUCAUGCAAUAUUGUUCUGCUCCUUUAAUAGAGUCAUUUACAGAAGAUAAAUUUCCCUAGGGUUUUUUUUUUUAUAGUAUAGAGUAUGAAUGAGAGGGAGCUACUCUCAGAUUCCGAAGAUUAAUGGAAACGAGUUAAUGAAAACUCAUUUAAAAAGUCAGCAGUUGAAAUUCUGUCUCCAAAUUUCUGAAUGAGGCUCUUGGGACCUUCUGCAAGUUGUAUUCAGAAAUGAUUUCUUUUUUUCUGGGCAUGUUCCAUGAGUGUCUUCUGAAUUUAUGUACUUCACGGUAAAGUACAGGACAGUAUCUGGUUGAAGUGAAGGGUUAAUAACACAAUAUUACAUCUGAGAACUAAUGUUUUUUUUACUGUUUUGCUUAGAGCUUUGCCUAUUUCUUACAUCUUGCUGUAGUAGUAUCUAAGAACAGUAAACUAGAAUAUUUCAAUUGGAAGGGACCUACAAAAAUCAAGUCCAAUGGCUUUGAAAUGUAUCUGCCGUUGCCAGCUAUAAUUAUUUCCAAAAAUGUAGAUAUUGUCUGUAUUCUGACAAAUGCAUUCAAGAGGUCUCUUUACCUUCAGAUUUACUCUUUUUUUUUUUUCUCCCCAAGCUUUUUCUACUACUCUUAACAGAACUAAAAGAAGUUGCUCAGAGAUGCUGUAAAUUGCUAUCACCUUCUCUAAAUUGGUCCAACUUUGAGCAAUUGGUUGGACAAGACUUCUAGCCUGUAUUAUCUUAUGCUUCUCUGAUUCCAAUAUUCCUAAUAUAACUGUUUUAUGAUGCAAAUGAUUAAAUUAUUCAUUAUUUAGUUUUCUAUAACCUGUUAGCUCACUCUACUCUGGUUAAAAAAAAAAAUCAACCAUGCUAAUAUGAGGCUCAGUCCAGUCUUGAGAAGUCCAUAAGAACACAGAUGCUAUUUGAUAUAUGAUUUUGUUUUCUUAUGAUCCAAUUUAGAAAAGAGAGAGGUCAACAGUCAAACUACUUCUGAAACCAAAUGUAGAACAGAGAAACAAUUGCACAAUGAAAGGUUUCCUGUAAUAAUAAUUCAAAUCAGGCCUGUAAUGCCCUCCUAUCUGCUGUUUGCCCAGAUUAACUAUGUCAUUUAUUCAGUGAUUAGAGUACAUGGAAACUUCAGCAAACCUACGCCUGACCAAGGUCUGUGUUCAGUUUACUGCAGUGUCUGUCAGAGGAGCUCACUAUGCAUUCUGAAUUACAAUAAUAUUUUCUGGAAAUUUUGCCAAAUCACAAGAUUCUGUAGAAGGGAAAACAGCCCAGUUUUGUUGCAGUUAUUAGUCGUUACUUAAUGAUAAUAGUUAUAAUCAUGCAUAUUAUUAUUUAUCACAUUUAUCACAUACUGAAUUUUUGUGCAUAUUUAACCACUGGAAUGAUACACACCUUGGCUCCCAUCAUCGCAUAUGGCUUGCACUCUGGUUUAAAUUUGUACCUGAUUUGUUGUAAAUCACCUAAGGAAUGAGAGAAACAAAUUAUAAGUUGUUUUUCUAAUAUUUUAUGUUAACUCUAAAACUGUAGGUGUGAAGCCUGCCUGCUAACAUCCAGCUGGUCAGUGUAUAAUUUAGAAAUGUGGUGGAUGAAUUCAAUCCUGACUUAGAAGGCUUCUGGAACACAAGAAUCAAACUUUUUUUUUGUGCAUUUGUAUAUUAUUGUGUGAAGAUCUCCUGGGUGCAUGUUUCUCACAGCACAUGAUCUACACGUAAAAUAUAAGCAUAACUUCAUAUUACCUAGAGU